rnacentral:rRNA from 1 species
AGUGAACGCUGGCGGUAGGCCUAACACAUGCAAGUCGAACGGCAGCACAGUAAGAGCUUGCUCUUACGGGUGGCGAGUGGCGGACGGGUGAGGAAUACAUCGGAAUCUACUUUUUCGUGGGGGAUAACGUAGGGAAACUUACGCUAAUACCGCAUACGACCUACGGGUGAAAGCAGGGGAUCUUCGGACCUUGCGCGAUUGAAUGAGCCGAUGUCGGAUUAGCUAGUUGGCGGGGUAAAGGCCCACCAAGGCGACGAUCCGUAGCUGGUCUGAGAGGAUGAUCAGCCACACGGCAACUGAGAGACGGUCCAGACUCGGACGGAGGCCAGCAGUGGGGAAUAUUGGACAAUGGGCGCAAGCCUGAUCCAGCCAUACCGCGUGGGUGAAGAGGGCCUUCGGAUUUUAAAGCCCUUUUGUUGGGAAAGAAAAGCAGCGGGUUAAUCCCCCGCUGUUCUGACGGUACCCAAAGGAUAAGCACCGGCUAAGUUCGUG